rnacentral:rRNA from 1 species
AUCUACAACCAUGCCACCCUGAAUGUGCCUGAUCUCGUCUGAUCUCGGAAGCUAAGCAGGGUCGGCUCUGGUUAGUACUUGGAUGGGAGACCACUUAGGAAUAUCAGGUGUCGUAGGUG